GCAUUCGUGGUGUAGUGGUCAGUACGCUCGGCGCGUAUUCGAGAGUUCCGUGGUUCGAGUCCUCACGAGGGCA
rfam:Stegodyphus mimosarum contig113448, whole genome shotgun sequence.